CUAUAAAUGCAAUGAAUGUGGAAAACACUUCACCCGAAAUGCCAACCUUCAUACCCAUAAAAUAAGUCACACAGAAAUGGAAGUUUUAGAUACUUGAGAUUGAGCUGAACACAGAUUUGGCACAACGAUUUUGGGAAGGGGACAUCGUAACUUCUCCCUGUAUCUACAGGUGCCACAGUUGUCCAUUACUGUAUCUCUGGCCAAGAGCAGGUUUGUAUCGGUACCAUGUUGCCAGUGAAUAAUUACCUCACCUAGACCAUGUCCACUUUUUAUUUUAAAGCAAAAUGAUGUAAUACAGGUUCGCUGCAAGGUAAAAGGUGAACAACUAGGAAAACCUGCUGCAUGUCAGCAUCCUCUGCAUGCAGAAGUGUGUUUUUCUCAUAAAGAGUAACCCGGUCUUUGUAAAACGUUAUUUAGUCCUAUAGCAUAUUUUAUUUAACAUGAUGGCUGAUAUUUUGCAGUUAACUUUCCCUCAUUUAAAUUAUUUUAGCCCACUGACGAGUACUGGAGAUCUGCAGAGCACGACCUUCCUCCGGGAGCUCCCCCUCAUCAUGCUUUGCCAGAGGCAAAAAGCCACCUUAGCUUGACAGUAACAGCCAGGGCUCCUGGAUCCUGUGUCUUUAACAGGAAAAUCCCUUUGGAAACUUCCUUUGUACAUUUCCUCCCCCACUUAAAAGUAUAUAACCAAUCCCAACCUCAGCGCAGCUCUUUCUGCCCAGGAGCCCUGUCCCUGUGCUCGAAUAAAAACACCUUUUUUGGCUCAAAAAA